AAAGAUGACAUUGUUGGAAGGAAU
rnacentral:siRNA from 1 species